ACUAGGAAAAUGCAAAAAUUGAAUAGCGAACGAAGUCGGAGACGUUGGUGAGGGCUCCGGGAAGAGUUAUCUUUUUUUUGUAAGGAUGGUUACCACCCUUGGAAUCGAAUUGUCCGGAGAUAGGGGAACCACGUCCGCAAAGCACCACCUCCGUUGUGGUGUCCGGAACGCUCUUGUCGGCCCUCGGAAAUCCGAGGGAGGCAUUGUUAACCUCUUCUA
rnacentral:ncRNA from 1 species